AUCCGGGAAUUGUAUUGAGUUUGUUUUUCACAGUUGAGGUCGCCGCUCUUUGCUCUCAGAUUUCAAAGUGAGAGGCACUGGCUGCUUUCUAAUGCAGGGGCAGCAGCCCGGCUAUGAGCUCUGUGAGUCAGGAGGGAAGCUAGAGAAUUUCCACAUCUCCAGGUUCAAAACUGUGCAGGGCCAGGUGAUUGCCAGGAGCUUUGCGUUCAGUGAGGUGAUGCUCUCAGGGCAGGAGGCUGGUGCACACGGGCCUCCUCGGGGACCCAGGGACUGGGAGCAGGCAGGCUCCACAGGUUGGCCUUUGCCUUUACUCACUGGCAUGCCUAGAUGUGGGAGUGGUUUCACAAAGGACAUGAAGUGAAAAACACAACUCUCACCUUCUAUUUUAUGAUAGCAGCACUGUGAUUCUAACUUAGUGUCAGAUGGGAAACUGGAGUUUUUGGCUGAGCAGGAAAAGGAAAGCCUCUCUAUUCGGUAACGUGUACCUUAGACCUCCAGACCUUGGGAGGUUAAGGCAUGUAUACCGCCAAGCCUGAGGACAGCAUGUGCAAAGGCCCUGAGCAGAGAGGAGUUUGGUUGGUUUUCAGCGAAGAGAGAAGGCUGGUGUGGCUGAAGCCUAUUGAGUGAGAGAGUCCAAAGACAAGACAGAGCCUCAGCCUUUAAGGUCUUGUGGGCCAUGCUAAGAGCUGAAGGAGGAGUGCUUGGUGCCGCAGUCGGAACUAUGAUGUGCUUUCUUCUGGCACCAUCAGGGCAGCUUCCCAGAGCUCUUCAAGAAAUGCAAGGAGGGCAGGGCUGUCUGAGACACUGACAAAACCCCCUUUAUGGGAUCAGAGGAGAUGGAGCAUCUGGCAUUUGACAAGACACUGGUUCACGUGAUGAAGUCACAUGGACUUUUGGAAAAGAACCUACUGCACUGCAGGUGUCCGAUGCCUGCCACAGCACAUGAGUCAGCAGGGAUGAACACUCUGAGAGAGUUCUGAAGCACAGAGGUUGGUGUGAGUUUAGAAAGAAAACACCUGAUCCUCCCACCUCGUGGGAAUUCCUAUUGUGGUCUCAGCCAGGUAGCAUCCGUACCCUUUAAUAGAUUUAUAACAGCAGUUCUGGAUCAGAAACAGCAAGCUGGUCUUUGGUGACUGAGAUUCAUGAGGUCUCAGCUCAGUGCCACUGGAUAUCUGUGCACCAAACUGGGGCAUAAAGCAACAGCCCUGCCACCAGAAGCUAUGAAGGUAGAGCCAAGAUCACUGGGCACCAACUAGAACAAAAGAACACCAUGAGAAAACAGGGUACUCUACUCGGUGGGGGCUGCCAUGACAAAGUAUCAGACUGGGCGGCUGAAACAGCAGAAACAUAUGUCUCCUGCAGGUCUGGAGGCUGGAGUACAAGAUCAAGGCACUGUAUUUGCAGAUUCAGAUGCCACAGUUAUACUAACACAAAAAGAAGUUUGAGAAACGUUUUACAUUUCUAUUCUCUUUGGAGUUUACAUAAUGUAAAGAUUAUCCCAACCUCACAAGCUUAAAAAAAAUUAUCAAUAUUGCCACCAC